rnacentral:misc_RNA from 1 species
AAGUCGUAACAAGGUUUCCGUAGGUGAACCUGCGGAAGGAUCAUUAUCAAUUACUUGUGACUGCUUCUUUUUUUGAGAAGCGGUUGUAUGUUUUUGUGCACUGUUUUUUUCUUUUUGGUUAUUUUCUCACGAUAAUAAUCAAAGAUGAAAAUUUGAUUUUCUUAUUAUUAUUUUUCUUUUUAUUUACUUGUUAUGAGUAAUUAAUUAAAAAAAGACAACUUUCAGCAAUGGAUCUCUUGGCUCUU